rnacentral:SRP_RNA from 1 species
GCCAGGCGUGGUGGCACAUGCCUGUAAUCCCAGUUACUUGGGAGGCUGAGGCAGGAGAAUUUCUUGAGCCCGGGAGACAAAGGUUGCAGUGAGCUUAGAUCGUGCCACUGCACUCCAGCCUGGGCAACAGAGCAAGAUUCUGUCUCAA